UCGAGGGGUAUAGUAGCAAUACUUAGAGACCGGCGCACGGGUGAGUAACGCGUAUGCAACCUGCCCUUUACUGGAGGAUAGCCCGUAGAAAUGCGGAUUAAUACCCCAUAGUAAUGUUGGAUCGCAUGAUCUGGCAUUUAAAGUUUCGGCGGUAAAGGAUGGGCAUGCGUGACAUUAGCUAGUUGGAGAGGUAACGGCUCACCAAGGCUUCGAUGUCUAGGGGUUCUGAGAGGAAGAUCCCCCACACUGGUACUGAGACACGGACCAGACUCCUACGGGAGGCAGCAGUGAGGAAUAUUGGUCAAUGGGCGAGAGCCUGAACCAGCCAUCCCGCGUGCAGGAAGAAUGCCCUAUGGGUUGUAAACUGCUUUUUCGCAUGAAGAACACCCCUGACGUGUCAGGGGCUGACGGUAAUGCGUGAAUAAGCACCGGCUAACUCCGUGCCAGCAGCCGCGGUAAUACGGAGGGUGCAAGCGUUAUCCGGAUUUAUUGGGUUUAAAGGGUGCGUAGGCGGCUAUUUAAGUCAGUGGUGAAAUCCUGCAGCUUAACUGUAGAACAGCCAUUGAAACUGAAUAGCUUGAGUGAUCUUGAGGUAGGCGGAAUGUGUAGUGUAGCGGUGAAAUGCUUAGAUAUUACACAGAACACCGAUUGCGAAGGCAGCUUACUAAGGAUUUACUGACGCUGAUGCACGAAAGCGUGGGGAUCAAACAGGAUUAGAUACCCUGGUAGUCCACGCCGUAAACGAUGAUAACUCGCUGUUGGCGAUACACAGUCAGCGGCUUAGCGAAAGCGUUAAGUUAUCCACCUGGGGAGUACGCUCGCA
rnacentral:rRNA from 1 species